rnacentral:rRNA from 1 species
AGGGUUUGAUCAUGGCUCAGAACGAACGCUGGCGGCAGGCCUAACACAUGCAAGUCGAGCGCUUACCUUCGGGUAGGAGCGGCGGACGGGUUAGUAACGCGUGGGAAUAUACCCUUCACUACGGAAUAGCCUCGGGAAACUGAGAGUAAUACCGUAUACGCCCUUCGGGGGAAAGAUUUAUCGGUGAAGGAUUAGCCCGCGUAAGAUUAGAUAGUUGGUGGGGUAAUGGCCUACCAAGUCUACGAUCUUUAGCUGGUUUUAGAGGAUGAUCAGCAACACUGGGACUGAGACACGGCCCAGACUCCUACGGGAGGCAGCAGUGGGGAAUCUUGGACAAUGGGCGCAAGCCUGAUCCAGCCAUGCCGCGUGUGUGAUGAAGGCCUUAGGGUCGUAAAGCACUUUCGCCAGAGAUGAUAAUGACAGUAUCUGGUAAAGAAACCCCGGCUAACUCCGUGCCAGCAGCCGCGGUAAUACGGAGGGGGUUAGCGUUGUUCGGAAUUACUGGGCGUAAAGCGCACGUAGGCGGAUUAGUCAGUCAGAGGUGAAAUCCCAGGGCUCAACCCUGGAACUGCCUUUGAUACUGCUAGUCUUGAGUUCGAGAGAGGUGAGUGGAAUUCCGAGUGUAGAGGUGAAAUUCGUAGAUAUUCGGAGGAACACCAGUGGCGAAGGCGGCUCACUGGCUCGAUACUGACGCUGAGGUGCGAAAGUGUGGGGAGCAAACAGGAUUAGAUACCCUGGUAGUCCACACCGUAAACGAUGAAUGCCAGUCGUCGGGUAGUAUACUAUUCGGUGACACACCUAACGGAUUAAGCAUUCCGCCUGGGGAGUACGGUCGCAAGAUUAAAACUCAAAGGGAAUUGACGGGGGCCCGCACAAGCGAUGGAGCAUGUGGUUUAAUU